UCCGGUGAGACCUUAUUCUUCUUCUCCGAUCUCUCUUUCUCUGAUGGUGAGCUCGCGACGGGUUUGGUGAUGUUGGUGUUUAACCUUGUCGUUGAAUCUUUGUUCGAUUUGAUGAUGAAAGUUGUGUUGAUGUGUUGCAGGGUUCGUUGAAGACGAACAAUGGUGAGGUCCUUCUGAUUUCGUUUUCACAUUUUGAGCUCUCUAAUAUCUCUUCUUCUCUCGCUAGUUUCUGAAGAGUUUGAUGUUUUAGGAAAAAUUAUGAUAGUUUAGGGUUUUAUGUUUGGAUUUUCUGUGUUUGGAUUGAAUAUGAACGUGAUUUUCUGAUAAUUUCUGAAGGGUUAGUAAAACUGGGAAGAUGAUGAUUGAUAUUUAGGGUUUUUGAAUGUCAGGGUUUUGAUGUUGUGUUAUGUUUGUAGAGAAUGAUUCCUGAUGUCUCUGUUCUUUUCUUCUUUUUCAAAUGUUAUUGAUCAGAAUCUAAUUGUCGGAGCUUUCAAGCCUCCUUGCAAUAUCUCAAUCUCUUUUGCUGAUGGAAGAACACACAAGCAGAGAGCAGAAUGGAUUAAGUUCAUAGGAGCUUUCACAAAUGUUGAAGCUAGAGCCAAUCAAGUCUAUACUACAGUUAAGGAGAACUAUUUGUGCUUGGCCGAAAACGCAAAAUCUCGAACUUCAUUCAAGCCAACUGUAGCUUGGAUGAAAUAUAACAAUGGUGUUUGGUCUUUUACAAAGGAAGCAUAUUAUUUGAAGUAUGUCGAAGAUUCGGGAGACGAGAUUUUGGAUGCUAACAAGAACACUUACAAUGUUUCUGAUCCUGAUGACUUAGAAGAAUUGCAUGCAAUCCUAUGUACUGUGGAAGUAGUGAUUGAUGAAACAUUAACUUCUGAUCCGUUAACUUCUGAAACAUUAAGCCUAUAUAUGGAGAUAUGACAAGCGGAUUCAAACUACGUCUCUUGGUACGUCUCAACGUCGAAACACGUUAGUUUUUUUGUGAUUUUCUAGUUAAAUAUGCUCAAUUUUUGUGUGAUUUUGUGUAUGAUAAGACUGUUAUAAUGGAGCAGUCGCGCAACCUCAAUUGGUAUUAGCUGAUCUUAUUGAAGUUUUAUUUCCAACCGGAAAUUACAACAUCACUUACUUUAGGAACAUUGUUAUAUAAGGCUCGAUUAGCCAACAUUAAACGAGAAGACGAAUCUAUCUUGCGAGAGAAGGAACGUUACGACCUAGAUAAGGGAAACGCAUGCGUGGACAAUUGAAGAUAAAUUAGAAGUUGAUUUGCGCGUUGUUGGAAAGUCAAUUAUGACCAUCUAGGAGUCACGUUCGACUGGAGAGAACUAGU